rnacentral:ncRNA from 1 species
GUCAGUCGUCGCGUUGUGCCCCGCCGUGUGCUGUGCCGGAACGGCUGUGACCAGGGAUUGAAACACCUGAAGUUGCGGCCCCCGGCUUGCAGUAGACCAAGGGUUUUUCGGAGUCGGGACUCGGAAUCGUUUGUAGACGACUUACGUACCUGGCGAGGUGUUGUCAGCGGUAGAGCAGUUAUCACGCUGCGAUCCGUUAAGACUCUGCCUUCCGCUUGGGAGAUUCGU